rnacentral:rRNA from 1 species
AUUGAACGCUGGCGGCAUGCCUUACACAUGCAAGUCGGACGAGUGGCGAACGGGUGAGUAACGUAUCGGAACGUACCCAAUAAAGGGGGCUGACUGUCCGAAAGGAUAGCUAAUACCGCAUAAUAUUCGAUCGGCCGACGUCUGAUUAUCUGGUUGGCGGGGUAAAGGCCCACCGAGGCGACGAUCAGUAGCGGGUCUGAGAGGAUGAUCCGCCACACUGGAACUGAGACACGGCCCAGACUCCUACGGUAGGCAGCAGUGGGGAAUGUUGGACAAGGGGCGCAAGCCUGAUCCAGCCAUGCCGCGUGUAUGAAGAAGGCCUUCGGGUUGUAAAGGACUUUUGUCAGGGAAGCGGUACCUGAAGAAUAAGCACCGGCUAACUACGUGCCAGCAGCCGCGGUAAUUC